AACGAACGCUGGCGGCACGCCUAACACAUGCAAGUCGAACGAAGCAUAAGAGCUUGCUCUUAUGACUGAGUGGCGCACGGGUGAGUAACACGUGGGAAUCUACCUAUUGGUGGGGAAUAACUUUUGGAAACGAAAGCUAAUACCGCAUAAGCCCUAAGGGGGAAAGAUUUAUUGCCAAUAGAUGAGCCCGCGCUAGAUUAGCUUGUUGGUGAGGUAAAGGCUCACCAAGGCUACGAUCUAUAGCUGGUCUGAGAGGAUGGUCAGCCACACUGGGACUGAGACACGGCCCAGACUCCUACGGGAGGCAGCAGUGGGGAAUAUUGGACAAUGGGGGAAACCCUGAUCCAGCGAUGCCGCGUGAGUGAAGAAGGCCUUAGGGUUGUAAAGCUCUUUCAGGGGGAAAGAUGAUGACGGUACCCCCAGAAGAAGCACCGGCUAACUUCGUGCCAGCAGCCGCCGUAA
rnacentral:rRNA from 1 species